GGGAAACUUACCAAGGCCAAACAGAGGUGGGAUUGACAGAUUGAGAGCUCUUUCUUGAUUCUUUGGGUGGUGGUGCAUGGCCGUUCUUAGUUGGUUGGGUGAUUUGUCUUGUUAAUUCCAAUAACGAACGAGACUCUCUCCUGCUAAAUAUUGUCUGCUUCUCUUUUGAGCAGUCAAUUCUUCUGAGAGGGACUGGCGACUCUUAGUCGCACAAGAUUGAGCAAUAA
rnacentral:rRNA from 1 species